rnacentral:rRNA from 1 species
UACGUAGGUGGCAAGCGUUGUCCGGAUUUAUUGGGUUUAAAGGGUGCGUAGGCGGCUUUGUAAGUCAGUGGUGAAAUAUGGCAGCUCAACUGUCAAGGUGCCAUUGAUACUGCAGAGCUUGAGUACAGAUGAGGUAGGCGGAAUUGACGGUGUAGCGGUGAAAUGCAUAGAUAUUAUCAAGAACACCGAUUGCGAAGGCAGCUUACUAAGGAGUUACUGACACUGAGGCACGAAAGCGUGGGGAUCAAACAGG